rnacentral:rRNA from 1 species
UAGUUGCCAUCAGGUAUGCGUGAGCACUCUAAUGGGACUGCCUACGCAAGUAGUGAGGAAGGUGGGGAUGACGUCAAGUCCGCAUGGCCCUUACGCCUAGGGCUACACACGUGCUACAAUGGAUGCUACAAUGGGUUGCGAAACCGUAAGGUGGAGCCAAUCCCUGAAAAGAUCCUCAGUUCGGAUUGGAACUCGACUUCAUGAAGUUGGGAUUGCUAGUAAUCGCGUUCAGCACGCG